GCUCUCUUUUCAGACUCAGCCUGCCUGCACCCAGGUGAAAUAAACAGCCUUGUUGCUCACACAAAGCCUGUUUGGUGGUCUCUUCACACGGACACGAGUGAAAUUUGGUGCCGUGACUCGAAUCGGGGGACCUCCCUUAGGAGAUCAAUCCCCUGUCCUCCUGCUCUUUGCUCCGUGAGAAAGAUCCACCUACGACCUCAGGUCCUCAGACCGACCAGCCCAAGAAACAUCUCACCAAUUUCAAAUCCAGACCCCACUAGAAAUCGGACUGUUCAACUCACCUGGCAGCCACUCCCAGAGCCCCUGGAACUCUGGCCCAAGGCUCUCUGACUGACUCCUUCCCAGAUCUUCUCGGCUUAGCAGCUGAAGACUGACGCUGCCCGAUCACCUCAGAAGCCCUGUAGACCAUCACAGACGCCAAGCUUUAAGUAACUCUCACAGUGGAAGGAAUUGGGCGAGUGAGCCUGGGCAUGUGCAUUAAGAGACAAAAUGGCAGAGCAUGACCUUCCGGGGGCAUUCCACUGGCAAAGGGAAGAAAGCUUCAGGUGGGCAUGCAUACAACACUGCACAUGCUCACCUCCCAAGGGUAAGGAGGCCACUGUGUGUGCAGGCAGCUCAUCCUUAAAGAAGAAUGAAGGGAAAGGGGCUCAAGAUGCCGGAAGUGGGCCAGCAUAUAAAGUCUUAGGAUCAACUUAGGGUCAAGGUGAAAUGGGGCACUUGUCCUUCAAGUCACCCGGUUGGGUCCCUUCCAAGUGCACUUUCCUUUCUUUCCUGCUCUAAAGCUUUUUAAUAAACUUCCACCCUUACUCUCAAA
ensembl:lncRNA novel transcript